rnacentral:misc_RNA from 1 species
GUUGGAUUGGCCUAUUCGUCAUCAAAUAGCACUCGGAAUAGCUCAAGGAUUGGCCUAUCUUCACCAUGAUCUUAUGCCACCGAUUAUUCAUAGAGAUAUCAAAUCCACCAACAUCCUCCUGGAUAUUGAUUAUCAGCCAAAAGUCGCGGAUUUUGGUAUAGCCAAAGUGUUGCAAGCCAGAGGAGGCAAAGAUUCCAGCACCACAGUCAUCGCAGGAACCUAUGGUUACUUGGCACCAGAGUAUGCAUA